UACGUAGGGUGCGAGCGUUAAUCGGAAUUACUGGGCGUAAAGCGUGCGUAGGCGGUCCCGCAAGUCCGCUGUGAAAGCCCCGAGCUUAACUUGGGAACUGCAGUGGAAACUAUGGGACUUGAAUCGGCAGAGGGGGGGUGGAAUGCCACGUGUAGCAGUGAAAUGCGUAGAGAUGUGGCGGAACACCGAUGGCGAAGGCAGCCCCCUGGGCUGAGAUUGACGCUCAGGCACGAAAGCGUGGGGAGCAAACAGG
rnacentral:rRNA from 1 species